GAUGAACGCUGGCGGCGUGCCUAAUACAUGCAAGUCGAGCGAACAGACGAGGAGCUUGCUCCUCUGACGUUAGCGGCGGACGGGUGAGUAACACGUGGAUAACCUACCUAUAAGACUGGGAUAACUUCGGGAAACCGGAGCUAAUACCGGAUAAUAUAUUGAACCGCAUGGUUCAAUAGUGAAAGACGGUUUUGCUGUCACUUAUAGAUGGAUCCGCGCCGCAUUAGCUAGUUGGUAAGGUAACGGCUUACCAAGGCAACGAUGCGUAGCCGACCUGAGAGGGUGAUCGGCCACACUGGAACUGAGACACGGUCCCGACUCCUACGGGAGGCAGCAGUAGGGAAUCUUCCGCAAUGGGCGAAAGCCUGACGGAGGAACGCCGCGUGAGUGAUGAAGGUCUUCGGAUCGGAAAACUCUGUUAUUAGGGAAAAACAAAUGUGUAAGUAACUAUGCACGUCUUGACGGUACCUAAUCAGAAAGCCACGGCUAACUACGUG
rnacentral:rRNA from 1 species